rnacentral:rRNA from 1 species
UACAGAGGUCUCAAGCGUUGUUCGGAAUCACUGGGCGUAAAGCGUGCGUAGGCUGUUUCGUAAGUCGUGUGUGAAAGGCAAGGGCUCAACCCUUGGACUGCUUUGGAAACUGUGCUGCUGGAGUGUCGGAGAGGCAAGUGGAAUUCCUAGUGUAGCGGUGAAAUGCGUAGAUAUUAGGAGGAACACCAGUGGCGAAGGCGGCUUGCUGGACGAUGACUGACGUUGAGGCUCGAAAGCGUGGGGAGCAAACAGG